rnacentral:lncRNA from 1 species
GAACUGUUUUCUAAUAGGCUUCCCACUGUCUCUGGUUUCCAAAUUUCUUGCCUGAAGAAGUCUUUUUGAGUCUCUUACUGGCGGAACCAUAGCCCCUGCUAGCUGAGCCGAGCCAGCUGUCAGGAGAUGAAAUUGGGCCUCCUGCAGUCUGGCUGGCUUUCCAAUGUGGUCCACAAACCAGGGACCAAUUUCAAGAAGAACCUCAAAAGAGUGGACAGGGUGAGUGUCAUUCACCAAUUAAUGCACUACAUUAAGAAAACUCUCCUAGAGCUGACUGAUUUUGUGCAGACUUCCUGUUUCAGUGGAGGAGGCUGUUCUUCAGCAGGUGGAGGCAAAGAAGACGUAUAAAACAGGCAAGCACCAGAAAGUAUUUGUGUCCACCAUACCUUAUUGCACUGCAUAAUUUUCUAAGACUGCUUCUCAAAACCUCCCCAAGCAGUUGAACAAAACUUAACAUGAAAUGAAUACAUUUUCAUUGUUCUGUAGCUCAACCUUGGUGCUAUUUUUUUCUCCCCAUCUACCUAUCUCCCAAUACCCUCUUCAGCAUUGUUGGGUUUUCAUCUCACACAAAGUGUAUCUAAAGGCACAGCAUUAUAAUCAGUAUUGUUGUUUGAAAUGAAAACCUUAAGAUAAGAGAAAUAAAAGACUGUAUGAAUUCAGUUUUCAAUACUGCAUGUUCUGAUUUUUUUUAAAGAAUGACUUCUAGAAAAAAAAUAAAAGCAAC